rnacentral:misc_RNA from 1 species
UGCCAUUUUAACUAGUCAAGACCAUGAAUGUCUUUUUAGAUCUUAAACAUAGACUCAACUCCCUCCAAUCACUUCAUCCAACAAUCAAGGAUUAAAAACCUUAUUACUAGAUAGUUAGCAGGUGUAAAUUGAGAAAUUUAGAAUAGGUAUCAUUUGUCAUAAAAACAUUCUCUGCUUUGAAUCUAAUAUGGUAACAUUGAGAAAAAAAAUUAUGACUUUUGUGCCUGAUGUUACGCCUGAAAAAGUUUUCAAGCAAAAUCAUUAAGCAUGAAAAAUGCAACAUAACUGUCUUUGUCAUUUUAAAAUGAGCAAGGUGUGUGGACACCUCAGGAUUCAAUAGCAUCUUGAUAGUCGAGAAUAACUUUCUGUUAUGCAAAACAAAUUUAAUAUUUAUCAUACUCUUCAGAGGUAUCAAUGCUGGAAGAACCUCUUUUAGCCUUUGUACAAGCAUCAUUUUUUUUUUUUUUCAGUGGACUGUACAAGCACCCUUUUUAAUAGAAAGAAGUCUUCUUCGUUCACAAUAUCGUUGAAAAAGAAAAAUGCAAUGCUAGAAGGAUGAUUACCAUUCCUGAAGCAGGAGGCAUUCCAUAUUCCAAAGCAGUUAAAAAGUCAUCAUCAAGUGUGACUUCACAUGAAUCAUCCUCGUGUUCAUUUUUUUUUCUCUUCCGCACGUUCUGAUUCUAAAAUAGCUGCUGCCCUCUUCUCAUUGUGCUGCCUCACUUGCUCUUCCAAGCGUCCUCUCUUCUUUUACAUGGUAUCAUAGCAAGGUCCAGUAGCAAUCUUUCCCUAAGAAUUUUCUCCUGUUCCCAUUCCCCUAUUUUUCCUUCCACCCACUGUAACUUAGGAAAACCCACUGGAGUUACUACGGUGUCUCACUGCCACCCUCAAGAGGUGACCCAAGUGCCGACCGACCAUCCCUGAAAGUCCGGUAACCAAACUUGGAGUGAGUGACCUCCACUCGCCACUUUUGGUUUAUGGUUCUUGUUCCAUGCUUCAGUGCGUGUGAUGUUCUCUAGCAACAUCCGACGGUCGAACCUCCUCUCCCGGCGUCGCCCCAACAUGGUGGUUCCAUCCCUAUAGACUGUGUUGGGUUUUGAGGCUUCAUUCUUGAUGGUGCUUGAAGAUCAUUUUUUUGGAGUCACUGGAUCAUAAGGAUCUGCUAACUAGAGGCAGUUUCAUAGGUUAUUUGUGGAUUGUGGUAUUAAAUUACAAUGGCUAAGGGUGAGACCAAAUCUAUAAUUCAUGAUGUAUUCUCGGUGAUGACUAAAAUUACCGAAUACAAACUCAAUGGCUUGAAUUACUUGGAAUGGAGCAAGACUGUUCUGAUUUAAUUGCGGAGCAUUGAUAAAGAUAAUCAUCUCACAAAUGAUCCACCGCAUGAUGAUACCAAGCAAGCUAGGCUGAGGAAAGAUGCCUGUUUGUUCUUACAGUUUCGGAAUUCAAUUCACAGUGAGGUAAUGAGUCUUAUUAAUCACUAUGAGUAUAUUAAAGAAUUGAUAAAGUGUUUAGAAUUUUUAUACUCUGGCAAAGGCAAUAUUUCUCGCAUAUAUGAUGUUUGCAAAGCAUUUUAUCGACCUGAAAAACAAGAUAAUACUCUUAUAACAUAUUUUAUGAAAUUUAAAUGUAUUUAUGAACAGCUUAAUGUUCUGUUACCAUUUAGUCCUUAUGUAAAGGUGCAAUAAGCUUAACGUGAGCAAAUGACUGUUAUAAGUUUUCUUGUUGGUUUACCCUCAGAAUAUGAGACUGUUAAAUCUUAAAUUCUCUCUUGUUUUGAGAUUUCCUCUUUUCAUGAUACCUUUACAUGUGUCCUUUGUAUAGAGAGCACUCAUUUUUCACAACCAACUAACGGUGCUCUAAUUAGUUAGAAUAUAAGUGGACAACAGGGAAAUAGAGGAGGAUAUAGAGGGGUUACUAACAAUAGAAAUAAUCAACGUAAUGGGGAUGCUAGUUCUAAUAAAGACUCAGGAGGAGUCAUUUGUUAUUAUUGCC